UACGUAGGGGGCAAGCGUUGUCCGGAAUCAUUGGGCGUAAAGCGCGCGUAGGCGGCCCGAUCAGUCCGCUGUGAAAGUCGGGGGCUCAACCCUCGGAUGCCGGUGGAUACUGUCGGGCUCGAGUACGGAAGAGGCGAGUGGAAUUCCUGGUGUAGCGGUGAAAUGCGCAGAUAUCAGGAGGAACACCAAUUGCGAAGGCAGCUCGCUGGGACGUUACUGACGCUGAGACGCGAAAGCGUGGGGAGCAAACAGG
rnacentral:rRNA from 1 species